GACGAACGCUGGCGGCGUGCUUAACACAUGCAAGUCGAACGCUGAAGCUCAGCUUUUGUUGGGUGGAUGAGUGGCGAACGGGUGAGUAACACGUGAGUAACCUGCCUCCUUCUUUGGGAUAACGCCCGGAAACGGGUGCUAAUACUGGAUAUUCACUGGUCUUCGCCUGGGGGUUGGUGGAAAGGGUUUUUCUGGUGGGGGAUGGGCUCGCGGCCUAUCCGCUUGUUGGUGGGGUGAUGGCCUAACAAGGCGUUGACGGGUAGCCGGCCUGAGAGGGUGACCGGGAACAUUGGCACGGAGCUACGGCCCAGACGCGUCCGGGAGGGAGCAGUGGGGAAUAUUGGACAAGGCGCGAAAGACUGACGCAGCGACGCUGCGUGAGGGAUGGGGGUCUUAGGGUUGUGAACCUAGUGCGCUCAUGGUCAAGCCGCAACAAUGGUUGUGGUGAGGGUAGUGGGUAAAGAAGCGCCGGCUAACUACGUG
rnacentral:rRNA from 1 species